rnacentral:lncRNA from 1 species
UUUCUUUCUUUUUUUUUUUUCUUUUUCCUUUGGUAGUUUUAAUUGGUACUUUGGGCCAGAAGGCGGGGCCUCACUGAGAAAGGAAACUGGCUGAGACACUCUCUGCGUAGGAUCAUCAUGCCGAGCAUAAACUGGACUUUCCCACUUGCCUGGCAGGAGUGAGACAGAUCACUGUGUGCUAAAUGAGCAUCUGAGAGCUCCUGGGCUGUCAUGUAUGAACAACCAAGCGAAUGGAGUGGAGGCAGAGGAGUUAAUGACCAUGGAGGCAUUUAUGGCUAAUAGGGAAUAUACCAGAUGUCCUUGGUGUGUGCAUCCCUGUGGAAUCUGGUUCAUCUCCAAUCUGUCAGAAAGCAUCAGAGGUGGUUUUGAGUCCUUAUGUCCUGAGCCUGUGGACAAAAUGUACCUUGUGUGGAGGAAAAUGAGAUCCCGAGUGAAGUCUACAAUGUCAUUGACUCUGAAGAAGGACUCAGAGACCCAUUGGUGUUUAAUGACCCUUACUGGCCUAUGCAAUGGGAACUGGCUCAGCUAUAUAUGAUCACAGGCCCAUCCCCUAAAACUUAUAUGGAAACUUGAAUGAUGUCAGCUUCUAAAGGACACUGUAUGAAGGACUGGAUUGCCAGUGGUGAGUGUUGGAUUAUAGAGAUGGGAGAUGGGCAGAUUUGGAGUCUGAACUGAGCCUUCUACUCAUUAGCUAGUUGGCCAUGGGUAAACUUAUUAAUGCCUAUGUGCUUUAGUUUAUUUACCUAUGAAAUCAUGACAAAAGUAUUUUUCAGAAGUGAUUGUAAAAGUUAAAUAAUGUAUUUGAAGCACUUAGCCAUCCACAGUAAACAUUCAAUAAAUGUAUAUGUUUGUAUUAUUGAGUGUAACUUUUUAUUAGGCUGCAUAUUACACAAUAGUUAUCACAGUACAGCUACCCUUUGGUUUUCAAAAGCAGUCUAAAACAGAUGUUUGAAAAUGAAAUUGAAAUCACUUCUGUCUCAGCUAACAUGAUUAUUCUGUAAGCAGUUAAGUUUUAAAACUCAUACUUUGGACAUUAUUAAUAUUAGCAACAUGGUCCGCAAAUGUUUCAGUGCCUUAGUGAAGCCAGUGGCUGUUUUGUCUUUUUUUUUUUUUUUCCCUUUUGUCAGAUGCUCCUGUUGAAAACAUCUUAAUCGAUAGUGAAUUUUAAAAAAUUAAGUAGCGUUUUUGCCCAUAAUUUAUCGUAGAUGAAUAAAGUCAAAUCUCCUAGACAGAAGUGAUAGAGAUUUGAGGUUGAAUUCCAACUCUUCCACUUGUUUGGCCCUAGGCAAAUGCUUACCUGGACUGAAGCACAGUUGCACCAGCUGUAAAAAUGAAAAAAUACACUAUACCUUGCAGGGUUGUGACUAUUAAUAAUGAUAUAUGCAAAGAGCCUGGAAUAAGGCCUGGGACUUAGUAGGCACAUAAUAAAUGGUAGCUAUUAAUGUUGUUAAUAUUUCUUUUUCAAUCUAUGUGUAAUUCUUUAGUAAUAAUGCUAAUCUAUCACUCAUAACUCAUAUGGUAUAUCUAUAUUUUAUAAUUUAAAUGUAUUAUCCUAGAGUCAAUGAAUUUGGUUAUAGUACCUAUACACUAUUUGAAGAACAACUUUAUUUCUAAAAUUCCCUGUUUUGUAGACUAGUAUUCAGAGUUCCUUGUGUUUAA